rnacentral:SRP_RNA from 9 species
UGCGACGCUCUGUAUCUGCAAGCCGCUCUUUGCCUUGCUCGAGGCGUGUGGUGAAUUCUUCUGCAACCAAGCGUGGCUGCUGUUGUGGGGGGCCUGCUGGCAUCUCUGCACGUGUGUGAGCAUGCUCUGAUACGGCAGGAUCCACCGCCAAUGGGCCAGAAGGAGGCGGGUAGGUGACACCCUUUGGCAGCCGGGGAAGAGCCUCGCCA